rnacentral:rRNA from 1 species
UACGUAGGGGGCUAGCGUUGUCCGGAAUUAUUGGGCGUAAAGAGCGUGUAGGCGGCCGAGUAAGUCCGACGUGAAAUCUGGAGGCUCAACCUCCAGCGGUCGUUGGAAACUACUCGGCUAGAGUCCGGAAGAGGAGAGUGGAAUUCCCGGUGUAGCGGUGAAAUGCGCAGAUAUCGGGAGGAACACCAGUAGCGAAGGCGGCUCGCUGGGCCACACCUGACGCUGAGACGCGAAAGCUAGGGGAGCGAACAGG